CAUAGUGUUCUUUUAAUAGUCUCUCUGAUUUCCUUUCUUCGUAUGACAUCAUCUUUCUGUCCAGCGCUGGUCCAGUAGCUCAAAUCCAUCGGUAAAGCAUGGCUUUGUUACAAAAACAGUGAAAAACACUUUUUGUGCUGAGUAACACAUUCCAAGCAAGCAGCCUUUGUGUGUGUGUGUGUGUGUGUGUGUGUGUGUGUGUGUGUGUUUUUCUAUAUUGUUGGGACCAAAUGUCCUCAAAAGGGGAGUAAAACCUGAAAUUUUUGACAUUGUGGGGAGCGACCUGCGGUCCCCACGAGGGGGAAAAAUUGUUAAAAAUAGUAAAUAAUGUUUAUCUGAAAGUGUAACAAUGGAAACAGGUUUUCUGCAAGGGGUAGGUUUAUUUAUUGGGUUAUACAUAAAUUAUAGGGUUAUAAAUCAGGAUAAAAGGGUUAUAGGGGAUAGAAAAUAUCGUUUGGUCAAGAUAAAAGUAAUAUAAGUCUAUGGAAAGUCCCCACAAUUCACAGAAACAAACAUUAGUGUGUGUGUGUGUGUGUGUGUGUGUGUGUUACAAACACACAGUCUGCGGUGGAGGCUGUUUACAUAUGGGCAAGAUUCUCAGCAGGAUUCGGUGCAGAACUAUUAAUUAAAUUGUUGUUUGUGAUGUUGAGCGGUCAGACUGAUGGGCGGAGUCUUGCGAUGGCCACGCCUCUCUUCAAAAACACAGCCACACUUCACUUAAAGCUCUCUGCCUCCACUGUGCUGCUCACUUCAUGGUAAGCUUGCAUUGUGUUUUUCAUUUUCAUGACUAAUAUCAACAGUGCAUUAAUGGUUUUACUGAGUUUUGCCUUAUGAAAUUUGAGAUGCUUUCACCUUGAGGUUAAUGAAAAAAAAAUACUGUAUGAAAUAAUUAAUUCGGCUAUGAUUCUUCCCUGCUACUAAACAAAAGCAAUAAGUGUGUUUAUGACCGGUUAAAGGAUUACAAGAUGGAUUUCUUGACUUGUGGAGAGAAGGACCCACUGUAUGCCAAAUACAGCACUUUUCCCGGAUGGCAUUCUUCACACAUAUAUCAGCACAAACCUUCUACAACCACUUACCUGCAACACCUGUCGGAGUACAUUGACUCAACUGGUGAGCCAAAAACUUGGGUGGAAUCAGGUACCAGAACUACCCGGGAUAUUUAUGACUUUAACAAGCAGACUGAAAUCGCAAAUUUUCAUUCAAACACCAAGUUAUCUCACAGAGAAUUAACUGAUUACAUUGGGGAAGUGAGAAAUCCUGUACCCAUAGAAAAACAGAGAUCAGAUGAGGGGAGGUAUGCAGAAAGAGACUCAUAUGCACAGCACAAAGGGUGGGAGAACACAUGGCCAUUAAACUACAGAGAAAUAAGAGAAAACUUUGGAACAGACAGUCAUAAUGAGAUGCAAGCUUAUGCCGACUGCUAUCAUCAUACGCUUUCCAAAAAACCACCUCGCUUUGAGGUUGGGGAGUGGAGGUCAUCUAGGUGUGCUUCAGACAUGGAGAAGGUGUUGGGAUAUGGCCAGUGGACUGCUAGUCCAGACAUAACUGAACAAUUCCAGCCAACUGCUUUAACGUCACCGAAAAAAGACAUAACUGAGCUCAUUGGGGAACAUCGGUGGAAAAGGAGCCCUUGGAAUUUGAGAAAUACAGAGAGUGUUUUCCCAGUAGGAUCUUUCAGACAGCCUCCAUCCUACAUGGCACCACCAGCAUACAGCUCCCCGAAGAAUGGUGACAAGAUAGCAGCAAUACCAAAAGUUACUGCAGAGGCAAGUGUGGAAGCAUUUGAGGAGCAGACGUUUGAGAGCAGAAAAGUACCCUUUACAGAUUUGACAGAAACACAUUGUGAUCCUUCAUCAAACAAUGGACAUUAUUUAGAAAAAAAUAACCAGAAACAGAACACAGAGAGUUACCGCAGUGUUAUCACCGGUGGACAACACUGUCUAGAAGCCUUAAAUGCAUCCACUGUCAUGCAGUACACAACAAUAAACACAAAACCACCUUCAACUCAAGCACAGCUUCAGUACAGAGAGUCUCCACACAUGACCCAACCUGAUAUUACUCAGACGAAGCAGACCAAACUCACGAGAAGAAAGGGUGGUGAGACUGUGUUUUGUCUAGUCUCUCGAAUGGGAGAGGUGUCAGGCUUGUCAAGUUCUCCAGAGGAGCCACUUAAAUCCCACGUGUUACCCCUGUUAACUGAUUGCAAUCCAGAUUACAAGCCAAUCACCACCGAGCACACAAAUUCACCUCAGCACAAUGAUGACAGCAGACAAAAUCAGGAUGCAGGCUUGAAGAAUAACGAAGCUGUUUGGCAGCUCGACGGAUCCUUAAUGUUUGGAGAGUAUGGGCACACAGCCCUAGAUCAAAGAUCCAGUUUUAUCCAGGAUCUGGGUAGUGCAAUAGAACCAGAUGAAGAAAAAGAAGAGUUGCAAUGUUAUGUCCAAGGGAACGACUCAGAGUCAAACCGUUUAGCCCAGAAGUCACCAAUGCAGACACAUGGACAUGAGAAACCAUGCAGGGAAAUCAUAGAGAAAUUCCCAUUGUGGAAAGAGCCAAAACAUCAGCAUCACUCAACAGGGAUGACAGAGCAAAAAAGCCAGGGGAUAAACGAUGAGCCUGAAGUUAGCAACGACUCAACAAAUGACCACCAGAGUCUUGUGGUCAUUGACGCAACCUGUGUUGUUGUCAAGGUUGAGCUUGUACUUCUUCCAGAGAAGGAGCAUGUCCAGUAUGUGUGUUUGACAGAGGAGAGUCCUUCGCCAAGUACUAGAGAGGAGACCGAGGUGCAGAAGCAGCACAGCAGUAUCGUCUCAAGCCAGGAGACUCCUGAAAACAAUACUUUGGAAGAGAGAGUAGAAAUGAUUCUUGGAAUACCACACGAGCAUCCCAGGACAAGUGUACAGACACACGAGAGCAUUUCAGAAGAACAUGACAGCUCCUGUGAGAGUCACAUCGUGGAUCCAGUAAAAGAGUUUGAGGAAUCUCCAUCUGCAGCUGCAACUGUUGAUGAGUGGCAAGCGCAGGAAAAUAAACUGAUGGUGGAACAUUCCUGGAGUGGGACAACAUUGGAGAAUAAUGAAGGCGUAGAGGAAGUGCUCAGCAUAAUGGAAGUGGAAAAGCAAACCACUGCACAAGAACCCGAAGCUGUUCUCAAAGACUUUGUGGCUUUCACAAAUGCAAAAUCCACAUCUGAAAUCCAACCUGAAAAGACAACCAUAGAUAUGAAUCAAUCCACAGAACAAGGACAUAGACCUGCUUUGGACGACAGUGUGGUUGAGCACAGUACACAGAAAGAUAAUGAGAACCAUCAAACAGAUACUACCAUGGACCUUACAGAGGAUAGUUCAACAGAAGACAACCUCUCAGAUGAUAAGCGAGUACUUGCUUCAGAUUUCUUUACACCUGUCCUUAGGAAAAGUGCAGAAAAUUGCGUCAAAGUUGUUUUACCUUCACCUGUGGGUUCCAGGACUCUCAGAAGGUCAAGCUCUUCACCUCAUUUGUCAUUUACGUCUGCUUCCAACACCUUGGAUGCAUCAAAUGUAUCAGCUACUCCUGUGGUUUCUCACACAGAGAAUGAGCCACUGUUGCUUCAAUCUGUUACCAACACAGAAACCACCCAGUCCUCCGGUUCUCCCAGUGUUCAGUCAAGCUGUACAUCCUCACUCCCCGCUCCUUCUUCUACUCCAGUUCCAGAAGCUUUUGAAAAUCCAUCUCUCCCACAGACAAGAAAUACUCCUGAUGAUUUACUCUGUACUUCAUUGCCCUGUGAGCAAAAAAUACAACAUGUCAAGUCUCUGUGGGACGCGGUAAGUCGUAUACGCAAACACACUGCUCCUGACUCUGAGACAGAGGAAGAGGAGACGGUUGAGUUUGGGGAACAAACUCAAAGUACAGACACUGACUUGCUUUAUCAGAGACUGAACACAAAAGAAGGAGGAGAAUUGGAGGAUAAUACUUUAGAGAACUGAACAAAAACCAAAUGAUGUUUCUAUUCCUGUGCCAGAAAACACUGUGUGUAUACUGUCAUAGCAUUACAAGCAUAGGCCGUAGUGAAAUAGCAACAACCCCAGUGACACCACACACUAAUAUUUCACUGCUCCAGGCACUGUCAGUCUGUGUAUAAGUAGUGGGGAUUUUACAGUGACGCUUUCUGCAAUUAACAUUGUUAUGCCAGUAGGUCUUAAUGAGUGAGUCAUUGAAUCUUUCAAUCAACCAAUUAGUAGCAUCACCUGCUGUAUGUGAGAUAUGCAAUGGUUAAUUCUAGUGUCUCUUUGUUUGAAAAUAUUUUAAUUACAUGCAAGAAGGGUGUACUUAAUUUUCACAUGAUUUUCUGCAUGAUCUGCAUAAUUUUUGUUGCAUAAAUAGUUUUUUUUUUUUAAUACAGUGAAAUUUGUUAUGGCUGUCGCCUGAGGCUGGAUUUGUCAAAUAAUAAAAACUGGACCUGUACAAUCA
ensembl:lncRNA